rnacentral:rRNA from 1 species
UGUCGCCUACGGGAGGCAGCAGUCGAGAAUCAUUCACAAUGGGGGAAACCCUGAUGGUGCGACGCCGCGUGGGGGAAUGAAGGUCUUCGGAUUGUAAACCCCUGUCAUGUGGGAGCAAAUUAAAAAGAUAGUACCACAAGAGGAAGAGACGGCUAACUCUGUGCCAGCAGCCGCGGUAAUACAGAGGUCUCAAGCGUUGUUCGGAAUCACUGGGCGUAAAGCGUGCGUAGGCUGUUUCGUAAGUCGUGUGUGUAAGGCGCGGCUUAACCCCG